AUUGAACGCUGGCGGCAGGCCUAACACAUGCAAGUCGAGCGGUAGAGAGGUGCUUGCAUCUCUUGAGAGCGGCGGACGGGUGAGUAAUGCCUAGGAAUCUGCCUAGUGGUGGGGGAUAACGUUCGGAAACGGACGCUAAUACCGCAUACGUCCUACGGGAGAAAGCGGGGGAUCUUCGGACCUCGCGCCAUUAGAUGAGCCUAGGUCGGAUUAGCUAGUUGGUGAGGUAAUGGCCCACCAAGCCGACGAUCUGUAGCUGGUCUGAGAGGACGACCAGCCACACUGGGACUGAGACACGGCCCAGACUCCUACGGGAGGCAGCAGUGGGGAAUUUUGGACAAUGGGCGCAAGCCUGAUCCAGCAAUGCCGCGUGCAGGAUGAAGGCCU
rnacentral:rRNA from 1 species